CCUACGGGCGGCAGCAGUGGGGAAUAUUGCGCAAUGGGCGAAAGCCUGACGCAGCGACGCCGCGUGAGGGAUGAAGGUCUUCGGAUCGUAAACCUCUGUCAGCAGGGAAGAACGGUCACUGUGCUAAUCAGCAGUGAAUUGACGGUACCUGCAGAAGAAGCUCCGGCUAACUACGUGCCAGCAGCCGCGGUAAUACGUAGGGGGCGAGCGUUAUCCGGAUUCAUUGGGCGAAAAGCGCGCGUAGGCGGCCGCCUAAGCGGGACCUCUAACCCCGGGGCUCAACCCCGGGCCGGGUCCCGGACUGGGCGGCUGGAGUGCGGUAGAGGAGAGCGGAAUUCCCGGUGUAGCGGUGGAAUGCGCAGAUAUCGGGAAGAACACCGAUGGCGAAGGCAGCUGUCUGGGCCGUCACUGACGCUGAGGCGCGAAAGCUGGGGGAGCGAACAGGAUUAGAUACCCCUGUAGUC
rnacentral:rRNA from 1 species